CCUGAAGCUUCGGCUUAGCAUCUACCAAAAUUGGAACGAUAAAGAGAAGAUUAGCAUGGUCCC
rnacentral:snRNA from 1 species